rnacentral:rRNA from 1 species
UGCAGUCGACGAUGAUCCUCAGCUUGCUGGGGGGAUUAGUGGCGAACGGGUGAGUAACACGUGAGUAACCUGCCCUUGACUCUGGGAUAAGCCUGGGAAACCGGGUCUAAUACUGGAUACGACCUUCUGGCGCAUGCCAUGUUGGUGGAAAGCUUUAUUGUGGUUUUGGAUGGACUCGCGGCCUAUCAGCUUGUUGGUGGGGUAAUGGCCUACCAAGGCGACGACGGGUAGCCGGCCUGAGAGGGUGACCGGCCACACUGGGACUGAGACACGGCCCAGACUCCUACGGGAGGCAGCAGUGGGGAAUAUUGCACAAUGGGCGCAAGCCUGAUGCAGCGACGCCGCGUGAGGGAUGAAGGCCUUCGGGUUGUAAACCUCUUUCAGUAGGGAAGAAGCGAAAGUGACGGUACCUGCAGAAGAAGCGCCGGCUAACUACGUGCCAGCAGCCGCGGUAAUACGUAGGGCGCAAGCGUUAUCCGGAAUUAUUGGGCGUAAAGAGCUCGUAGGCGGUUUGUCGCGUCUGCCGUGAAAGUCCGGGGCUUAACUCCGGAUCUGCGGUGGGUACGGGCAGACUAGAGUGCAGUAGGGGAGACUGGAAUUCCUGGUGUAGCGGUGAAAUGCGCAGAUAUCAGGAGGAACACCGAUGGCGAAGGCAGGUCUCUGGGCUGUAACUGACGCUGAGGAGCGAAAGCAUGGGGAGCGAACAGGAUUAGAUACCCUGGUAGUCCAUGCCGUAAACGUUGGGCACUAGGUGUGGGGGACAUUCCACGUUUUCCGCGCCGUAGCUAACGCAUUAAGUGCCCCGCCUGGGGAGUACGGCCGCAAGGCUAAAACUCAAAGGAAUUGACGGGGGCCCGCACAAGCGGCGGAGCAUGCGGAUUAAUUCGAUGCAACGCGAAGAACCUUACCAAGGCUUGACAUGAACCGGAAUGAUGCAGAGAUGUGUCAGCCACUUGUGGCCGGUUUACAGGUGGUGCAUGGUUGUCGUCAGCUCGUGUCGUGAGAUGUUGGGUUAAGUCCCGCAACGAGCGCAACCCUCGUUCCAUGUUGCCAGCGGGUUAUGCCGGGGACUCAUGGGAGACUGCCGGGGUCAACUCGGAGGAAGGUGGGGACGACGUCAAAUCAUCAUGCCCCUUAUGUCUUGGGCUUCACGCAUGCUACAAUGGCCGGUACAAAGGGUUGCGAUACUGUGAGGUGGAGCUAAUCCCAAAAACCCGGUCUCAGUUCGGAUUGAGGUCUGCAACUCGACCUCAUGAAGUUGGAGUCGCUAGUAAUCGCAGAUC